CUGAGAUCCAAGUGGCCUGAAUGAGAUUGCAUGGUAUGUGUGUGUUUGUGUAGGCGUGCGCGCCUGCGGGUUUAUGUGCCACGCUCUCUUUGAAUAUACAAACAUUGACGUUCCUCGGCUUCAGGCUAUUCUAACGGAGCACUUUAACGACAGGAUUAAUAACGCCUGCUCUGGAUGUGGACUGAACGCUUUGACACCACAGACCCUUCAGUUAUGUGGCCAGAGCUAGUAGCUAGCUCAGUCCCAGAGGCUUCAAUUUCUUCUCCACUAUUUCGGCAGAAGGUAUAAAAAAGGACACACAAGAGGUGGAAACAUUGAGUGGAGGUCCCUGGCCAAAGGGUUGGAAACAUCACCAAGGGUGAAGGUCCCUGGCCAAAGGGUUGGAAACAUCACCAAGGGUGGAGGUCCCUGGCCAAAGGGGUGGAAACAUCACCAAGGGUGGAGGUCCCUGGCCAAAGGGGUGGAAACAUCACCAAGGGUGGAGGUCCCUGGUCAAAGGGGUGGAAACAUCACCAAGGGUGGAGGUCCCUGGCCAAAGGGGUGGAAACAUCACCAUGGGUGAAGGUCCCUGGCCAAAGGGGUGGAAACAUCACCAUGGGUGGAGGUCCCUGGCCAAAGGGGUGGAAACAUCACCAUGGGUGAAGGUCCUUGGCCAAAGGGUUGGAAACAUCAACAUCCGUGCUACUGUGAGUCAGCAGGGUGUUGUCCAUCAUAAUGCCACACCUGGCCCCCUUUAAACACAGCAUUCCUUCUGAUGUUCUUUGAUGCAGUGUAUGACCUUUUUUCCCCAUCCCCAGAAAGACAACAUAUGGCCCCAGGCUCACCAACCAACCCCAGAUCCUAAUGAUUCUCUUUCCACCAUAUUCACCAAUUCAAUUGAGGAUUUUUUUCUCAGCUUGGCAAUGGAAGGUGUAUGAUCGGAACUCUCAUUAGCAAGUGAGUCUUCUCCAGGUAGUGGAGGCGGUCUGUGGUGAGAUCACUGCAGUGGCAUGCCAAGGAUGGAUCCGGCAUGCUAUGUGUUUUUCCCCCCUCUGCUUGGCCAGGGAACACAAUUGUGAUGUGGAUGAAAACAUGUGGCCAACUCAGCAUGGCAGGGAGUACAAUGCCUGAGAUUUAUUUUCUCUCCGUUCUUGUGUACUGUAUAAUAGUGUAACUUUUUGUUUCUUGAUGAUAUAAAAUGUAUGUGUCAUACAUCUCUGGAAAAAAAUUUGACCACUGCAAAAAAUGAAGAGACUACUGCACCUAUUUCUUUCCUUUCCAAAAAAAGUUGGAAAGGAAGGUUUUGAGUGAGGAACAGAAGGGUUAAAAUUAAGAGACCACUGCAAAUUGAAUGCUUUCGUUCCUCAAUCAAAACAUUCCUUUUCAACUUUUUUGGAAAGGAAAGAAAUAGGUUCAGUAGGCUCUUAAUUUUUUCCAGACCUGUACAUUUUUAUAUUUUUGGGUGGCCAGGAUCAAACUUUAUGUAAAAUGUUCCUCUGAGAAUCUUUCAUUUUGAUGAGAGAGUUUUUUUAUACACACAAUGUUUUCUUAAUGCUCCGUGUGUGCAACAUAUAUGACUGUGUGCAUGAUUCUGACCUGAUUAUUUGAUUUUGAGGGCUGUUCGUAUAGUUAUUAGGCCAGAAUUAAACAUGUUCCCUGUGUGUGUAAGUUUUGGAGAUGUGACUUGUUAUAAUAGGCUUUGUGUUAACAGUUUGGGGAUAUUGGGAUAUAAUUGAGAGAAUAGUGUGUAUUCAAUUGGGAAAAACUAUCAAAUGUAUGCAUUUACUGUAAGUUGCAUUUACAGCAUUUGCUAAAUGACUAAAACAUAAAUGUAAAAUGUGGUGUGCUAACAACUGAUCCUCAAAAGACCACUCCAUUGCCCGUAACAGUGCGUCAAAUACAGGCCAAGAUUGCCAUCCGUAGUAGUAACCACAACUGGUAAAUAUACAACCAUGUAAACCAUGUGAACACUGGCAAUGUCUUUCAAUAUGGAGCAGGAUAGGCAGCUAGGUAGAGAAGUAAAUCAGAAAACCACUAGACAAGGUCAAAAAUAUAAACUGAGCUGCUGUGAACAAUCAAAAUCACUUCUACCUGGCCAAAACUUAACACAUUGUCUGCAGAAUAUCAAUGGCAAAUGAGUGACUGUCCAUGUGCCUGGACAUCGUAGUGGAAACAUAUCCAUGUGUGCAGCCCUAUCUGAAGAUGGGGUGGUAGGACAAAAGCCUCUUAUUGGGUCUUCCAAUGCUGAGUUUCUCAAUUAAAUUGUGUGGGAUACUGUUAGGUUCCACAUUUUAGACGUGAUUCAAGAAUGGUUUUGGGCUAAUACCUGAUUCCUGACCCUAGACCUGGCCCAUAAUCUCCUUUUUCAUUGAGGAGGUGGAAGGACUAUGACCACCAUCCACAUGAGCAUGUCUCUCUUCUUCAGCUCAUGGAUAAGCCAUGUUUGGAUUCACCAUGCCGAAGGAUUAUAU
ensembl:lncRNA